AAAGGCGUAGCUCAACGGAUCAGAGCUCCCCGUUUCUACCGGGAUGGUUGCAGGUUCAAAUCCUGCCGUCUUUA
rnacentral:tRNA from 1 species